UACGUAGGGUGCAAGCGUUGUCCGGAAUUAUUGGGCGUAAAGAGCUCGUAGGCGGUCUGUCGCGUCGGCUGUGAAAACCCGAGGCUCAACCUGGGAAUGGCGAUGGAUACUGGCUCGCUAGAGUGCGGUAGAGGAGAGUGGAAUUCCCGGUGUAGCAGUGAAAUGCGUAGAGAUCGGGAGGAACAUCAGUUGCGAAGGCGGCUCUCUGGACCAGCACUGACACUGAGGCACGAAAGCGUGGGGAGCAAACAGG
rnacentral:rRNA from 1 species